GAAUAUUCAAAGACAUUGCUACUUACAAUUAGUUUUGCAGGUUUGCAUUUCAGCGUAUAUAUGUAUAUGUGGCUGUGCAAAUCCAUGCAAAACUGAUUGUGAUAAUGUGUGCUUCCUACGUCUGUG
rnacentral:precursor_RNA from 1 species